rnacentral:rRNA from 1 species
AGCGAACGCUGGCGGCGUGCUUAACACAUGCAAGUCGAACGUGAAAUGUAGCAAUACAGAGUAAAGUGGCGUACGGGUGAGUAACACGUGGGUAAUCUACCAAAGAGCCUGGAAUAACCGACCGAAAGGUUGGCUAAUACUGGAUAGUUCAAAUGAAAUAUAAUGUUUCGAUUGGGAAAGGGAGCGAGCAAUCGCCUUCACUUUUUGAUGAGCCCGCGCCUGAUUAGCUAGUUGGUAGGGUAAUGGCCUACCAAGGCGACGAUCAGUAGCUGGUCUGAGAGGAUGAUCAGCAACACUGGAACUGAAACACGGUCCAGACUCCUACGGGAGGCAGCAGUGGGGAAUCUUGCGCAAUGGACGAAAGUCUGACGCAGCCACGCCGCGUGAGUGAAGAAGGCCUUCGGGUUGUAAAGCUCUGUCGGAAGGGACAAAAACGUCUAAGGUUAAUAGCCUUAGAUCUUGAUGGUACCUUCAAAGGAAGCACCGGCUAACUUCGUGCCAGCCGCCGCCGUAA